AUAUAUAUAAAAACUCCACUUAUUGAUGUGGCUCACCAAUACAUGAUCCACUAUACAGAGAUAAACUUCCCAGGAACCCAUGCAGUCACAUGGCUUUAACCUUGGACGUGCCAAUCUUCCUCCAACCUUGAAUAGAAGGAACAGAUAUUCUGCAUUAACACGUCAUGCUAAUAUGGGCUCUUCCUUAUUUGCAGUAAAAAACAUUUCACAUUCCAAUUCUCAUUUGCUUUAUUUUUCUUUUUACUGAAUUUUUUUUCUUGUGUUAGGGAAUAUAUCUCUGGAUUUAGUUUAUGAGGAUCAAUCAAAUCCCAGAGGCAUUCAGUUCAUCCUCAUGAUGGGAUUUCCAGGGCUAUUUCUCCAAUAUUAAAAAAUAAAGGACCCCAAAUCAGUGCAUUUGGAACCAUAAAAUGUGAUUCAGAACCCAGGAGGAGAUAUGCAUCAAAUUCUUAUAUACUUAAACCGAAGAUUAGCCACUGUCACGGAAAUAUCUUAAUGAAGGUGGCUGGCCUUUUGUUUUUCUACAAACAACAUGUUGGAAAAGGAAAAGAGAGAGACUGGGUUUAAGAAAAUAAUUUUUUUUUAAGUUCUCUGGUAAUUGAAAAUUGGCUGCAUUUAUUUUCUGGUUUGGGUUUUUCUUUUUUGGCUUGAACUGUGAAAAGGAGCAAGCAGAAAGAAAUUUUAUUCUGCUUUGACACUGAACACAGUAGCUACACAUAACGCUUUUUAAAGUCCUACCAUAUGCCCAUCUAUCACACACAUAAUUUAGCAUGUACAAAAACUCUGAGAGUCUGAUGGUAUAACCCUUGUUUUGGAUGGUGAUCCUGAAUAGGAAUUUUGAGGUGUAGGGGAGAUCCUCAGAAAUUAUGAAUGAGUUCGGCUAAGGUCUCUUCACUUCAAGUCAGAUGUGCUUAGAGCUGCUACUCAGCUUCUGGAAUCAUCUGGUAGGCAGCUUGGCUGUGAAAGGAGUAUAUUUGGCUCAACUGCAGAUCAAGACACCAACCAGCAACAGCCUAAAAACAGAUACUCGCCCAGCCCUAAAGGCAUCAAUGUGUUUUGGGACUACAACCUUACAAUUGUCCCUUCUGGAACAGUGUUACACACCUCACAGCAUACUGGUUGAAUAAAUGAGUGAAUGCGCUUGCCUCUUUGUCUGCAAAAAUUGACUAUGACUGACGAUACAGAAGUAUUUCCCCAAAGAGUGAAUCUUCCUAAACACAAAAACCUGAAAUGUUAAUAUUCUGAAUUGGUCUCUUUGUCUUGUUCUCUAGAAACUAAUUUCAAUGUCAUCCUGUAACUUGGGUCUAUUCAAGUUCCGAGAACUGCAAUAUAAUAGUAAAUGGCCAAGUU